UGGGUGGCCAAGAUGUUGAUAAAAGUAAAACACAGAGAGACAAAGAAAUAUGCAAAAUUGGAAGAAGUCAGCUUCACAGAUUUUGUGAGAGCAGGUAAGUUAUGGUUUGUACUAAGUCAUUAAAGAGGAAAUGAUAAUGUUGUUAGUAACUGAGUGAUGAUUUUACUUCAGUACAGCAGAAGUUUCUCAUACCAGAAAAUGCAGCACUGAAAGUCACGGAUGAGCAGGGUAUAGAGGUGGAUGAGGAUGUCUUUCCUGCACUUGCAGCAGGCAAAGAGGUGUGUUUUGUCAUCUAUACAGCUGAAGACAUCCUGGAAACACAAUCAUCCAAGAAGCUGCGCGACUGCUCACACCUAACACACUAUGUGACACUCACACCUUGUGAUUUGACUGUCCUGAAGCAACAUGUGGAAGAGUCCUCCUCUCCAAGUCUAACAGAUACAUUGUCUGUCUCAACCACCGGCAGUCAGAGCAGUGACACAAGU